rnacentral:tRNA from 1 species
GUCAGGAUGGUCGACUGGUCUAAAUCGCCAGACUCAAGCUCAGCUUCUCGCAUCGGGGAUUCUGGUCUCCAUGUGGAGCCGUGGGUUCGAAUCCCACUUCUGACA